GACGAACGCUGGCGGCGUGCUUAACACAUGCAAGUCGAACGGAAAGGCCCUGCUUUUGUGGGGUGCUCGAGUGGCGAACGGGUGAGUAACACGUGAGUAACCUGCCCUUGACUUUGGGAUAACUUCAGGAAACUGGGGCUAAUACCGGAUAGGAGCUCCUGCUGCAUGGUGGGGGUUGGAAAGUUUCGGCGGUUGGGGAUGGACUCGCGGCUUAUCAGCUUGUUGGUGGGGUAGUGGCUUACCAAGGCUUUGACGGGUAGCCGGCCUGAGAGGGUGACCGGCAAUUUUGGGCCGGCUAUACGGCCCGGCUUCCACGAGGAGACGGAGGGGGGGAUCUUGCCCGAGGGGGGGGAGCCUAGAUGACGCACCCCGGGGGGCGGGGUCGGUCCUUGCGGUUUGUAUCCCGCUUGCCCUUGGGCGGAGGCUGGAGUGCGGUAUGGGGUUAAAAAGGCCCCGGCUAACUACGUC
rnacentral:rRNA from 1 species